GACCCCAUAGCUCAGUGGUAGAGCGUGAGAUUCCAGUGCCAGACGAUCCCUCGCAGUUGAACAAAUUUAACAGCAAUAAUCGGCUCCUCAAGGUCAUCCGUUCAAUCCGGGUUGGGGUCA